ensembl:lncRNA
GCGCUGUGGGGCAGGGCUGUGCUAUGGGGCAGGGCUGUGCUAUGGGGCAGAGCUAUGGGGCAGAGCUAUGGGUCCAUACCAGUAUGGGGUGCCCACGAAGCUGCAGGCCGAGGCGCUGUGGGGCAGGGCUGUGCUAUGGGGCAGGGCUGUGCUAUGGGUCCCGCUAUGGGGCAGGGCUAUGGGUCCCGCUAUGGGGCAGAGCUAUGGGUCCGUACCAGUACGGGGUGCCCACGAAGCUGCAGGCCGAGGCGCUGUGGGGCAGGGCUGUGCUAUGGGGCAGGGCAGGGCUAUGGGUCCCGCUAUGGGUCCCGCUAUGGGGCAGAGCUAUGGGGCAGAGCUAUGGGUCCAUACCAGUACGGGGUGCCCACGAAGCUGCAGGCCGAGGCACUGUGGGGCAGGGCUGUGCUAUGGGGCAGGGCUGUGCUAUGGGUCCCGCUAUGGGGCAGGGCUAUGGGUCCCGCUAUGGGGCAGGGCUAUGGGUCCAUACCAGUACGGGGUGCCCACGAAGCUGCAGGCCGAGGCGCUGUGGGGCAGGGCUGUGCUAUGGGGCAGGGCUAUGGGUCCCGCUAUGGGGCAGGGCUGUGCUAUGGGGCAGAGCUAUGGGUCCGUACCAGUACGGGGUGCCCACGAAGCUGCAGGCCGAGGCGCUGUGUGCGGCUGAGCCGAAGUCGCUGAGUUUGAUGCGGCCCCGCGGGGACAGCAGAACGUUGGCGGCCUUCACGUCUCUGUG